rnacentral:lncRNA from 1 species
AGAAGAGAAGGGAAAGGAGGAGCUGCGGCUACAGCAGUGGCAGCUGCAGUUGGAAGAGAAGGAGAGGAAGAGAAGGUGAGGAAGAAGAGAAGGAAGAAGGGAAGGAGAAGGAAGAAGAGAAGGGAAAGAAGGGGCUGCGGUUGCGGCUGUGGUAGGGAAAGAGGAAGAGGAAGGAAGAAGGGAAGGAGAGGAAGAAGAGAAGGGGAAGAAGGGGCUGCGGCUGCGGCGAUGGCAGCUGCAGCUGGAAGAGAAGAAGGAGAGGAAGAUAAGCAGGGGAGGAAGAAGAGGCUGCGGUUGUGGUGGCCGCGGCCAUGGCUGCGACUGCGAUUGCGGCAGUUGUAGCUGGGAAAGAAAAGAAAGGAAAGGGGGAAAAAGGGGCU